UCGAGAAUCUUCCGCAAUGGGCGCAAGCCUGACGGAGCGACGCCGCGUGCGGGAUGAAGGCCCUUGGGUUGUAAACCGCUGUCAGGGGGGAGGAAAGCUUCGGCUUGACCGAGCCCCAGAGGAAGCGCGGGCUAAGUUCGUGCCAGCAGCCGCGGUAAUACGAACUGCGCGAACGUUAUUCGGAAUCACUGGGCUUACAGGGUGCGUAGGCGGCCGACCAGGUCAGGUGUGAAAUCCCACGGCUCAACCGUGGAACUGCGCUUGAAACCGGCCGGCUUGAGUGAGCUAGGGGUGCACGGAACUUCCAGUGGAGCGGUGAAAUGUGUUGAUAUUGGAAGGAACACCGGAGCCGAAAGGGGUGCACUGGGGCUUGUCUGACGCUGAGGCACGAAAGCCAGGGUAGCGAACGGGAUUAGAUACCCGUGUAGUCC
rnacentral:rRNA from 1 species